rnacentral:rRNA from 1 species
GGACUACUCGGGUAUCUAAUCCCAUUUGCUCCCCUGGCUUUCGUUCCUCAGCGUCAGUUAAAGCCCAGCAAGCCGCUUACGCCACCGGUGUUCUUCCCAAUAUCUACGCAUUUCACCGCUACACUGGGAAUUCCGCUUGCCUCUACUUCACUCCAGUCCACCAGUAUCCAGUGCGAUCCCGAGGUUGAGCCCCGGUCUUUAACACCAGACUUAGUGAACCACCUACGAACUCUUUACGCCCAAUAAAUCCGGACAACGCUUGCAUCCUACGUCUUACCGCGGCUGCUGGCAC